rnacentral:lncRNA from 1 species
UGUUGAUCCUCACCGUUUAUAAUAUAAAUAUAUAUUGGCCAUUUUAUCAUUUUUAAAUUUGGUUUAAUAUUUCAUGUGUUAUCACUUAAUCUUGAGAAGACAAAAAUGCUAAUUUUAGCUUUGUAUUCUAAGUACAAGAGGAAAAAAUUUGGUGUCAAUUUUGUUUAUUUCCGAUUUAAAGUAAUUAAAGUUCGACUAAAAAAAAGUAUAGUAUUAAACGAGAAUUAUUCGUCACAAGGAAUUUAUAAAAGUGAAUAGCAAAAUGUAAGUAGUGUGCAAGAGAUAAUUACUAUUUCUUCGUACAAAAAUGUUUAAAAUGCCAUAUGACGAGUAAAUCUCGUUAAACAUUGUAUUUUGUUGAAUUUUGAACCUAUUUCGAAUCCAGGGUCGUUGCGACGGGGUAGGGGAUUCUUGAUUAUUUAAAUAGUAGCUUUAAAAAAUAUAGAAAUGAAGGCCUUUUGAAUGAAUACUUUUUCCUGAUAUAGAACUUUUUAAGAAAUAGAUAAAACUAUAACUUUCUAAAGCUAAAAACUAAUAUCCAAUGAAAAUAAAAAAACUGUAAAAGUCUCCGUAUUUUAUUUUUACUUAUAAUAAUAAGAUUGGAAAUUAAAUUAUAAUUUUCAAAAAGGACAUUUAUUUUUUUCCCAAUGCCCAAAAUUGAAUAAUACGAGACCUUGUCUCAGUUGUUAUCCUUAUCCAGUUUUGUAUAAGGCUUCGUCCCCGUGCCAUUUCACAUAGGGCCCGCAAAGAUUAAGGCCGGUCCAGAGUUUUGGAACAAAUUUUUAAUCAUUAUGGGUCUUUCAUUCAAAUUAGUAAGAAUCUACCAACCUCUAAAGCCCAAUCCAUAAAAUUAUUUUGUUAAAACCUCAGUACCUCAUUAAUAUUGGAUUAUAUGACAAUACCAAAAAAAAAACAUGUCUAUUUUUAAAAAAAAAUAAGGAGUAAGUUUUAGGAUAAUCACCUCCAACAACAAUAAUGACGUUCUAUAAAUAAGAUUUUGGAUUUUAAUCUGUUUCGAGGGAUGUAUUGAAUAUAGUUAUUAUCCCGACACCUGUCAAUCAAAUAAUAUAAUGCUGCGCAUAUUUCGACAAUUAUUAAUAGCCAAGGAUAAUUAUAGGAAUAUCAAAAUUUGUAUUGCAGACUUUUAGACAAAAGGACCUCUCAUAUCCAAUGAUUAAGAUCCUAUAUUUCUAAAAUCAUACUUAAUCAAAGUAAUAUGAAAAAUAUUUUCGUCUAACGAGGAGUCUUGACGUUACAUGCAGCCAGAUUUAUAAUACUGGAGUCUGGAUUCGAACUUAACUCAGAAAAGGUGGACUCAAAUACAGCUCUACUUUCAGCAUGCAUUAUUGAUAACACAAAUGAAAAAGACUAUAACAAAUACAAUUUAUAUUAAUUAAUUACAACUAAUGAAAAAAAUAAAAUAGUAUUAAUUUAUAAUACAAUAGUAACUCCAA